AAACUUUCAACAACGGAUCUCUUGGUUCCCCCAUCGAUGAAGAACGCAGCGAAACGCGAUAGUUAAUGUGAAUUGCAGAAUUCAGUGAAUCAUCGAGUCUUUGAACGCACAUUGCGCCCAUUGGUAUUCCUUUGGGCAUGUCUGUUUGAGC
rnacentral:rRNA from 1 species